GUAGGGAAUAUUGGGCAAUGGGCGAAAGCCUGACCCAGCAACGCCGCGUGUACGAUGAAGGUCUUCGGAUCGUAAAGUACUUUUCUGGGAGAUGAGAAAGGACAGUAUCCCAGGAAUAAGCUUCGGCUAACUACGUGCCAGCAGCCGCGGUAAAACGUAGGAAGCGAGCGUUAUCCGGAUUUACUGGGCGUAAAGCGCGUGUAGGCGGUUUGGUAAGUUGGAUGUGAAAUCUCUCGGCUCAACUGGGAGAGGUCGUUCAAAACUACCAGACUAGAGGACAGUAGAGGAAGGUGGAAUUCCCGGUGUAGUGGUGAAAUGCGUAGAUAUCGGGAGGAACACCAGUGGCGAAAGCGGCCUUCUGGACUGUAUCUGACGCUCAGACGCGAAAGCUAGGGGAGCGAACGGGAUUAGAAACCCGUGUAGUCC
rnacentral:rRNA from 1 species